rnacentral:rRNA from 1 species
UAAUACAGAGGGUGCAAGCGUUAAUCGGAGUUACUGGGCGUAAAGGGCGCGUAGGCGGCUUAUUAAGUGAGAUGUGAAAUCCCCGGGCUUAACCUGGGAACUGCAUCUUAUACUGGUGAGCUAGAGUACUGUAGAGGGUAGUGGAAUUUCCGGUGUAGCGGUGAAAUGCGUAGAGAUCGGAAGGAACACCAGUGGCGAAGGCGGCUACCUGGACAGAUACUGACGCUGAGGCGCGAAAGCGUGGGGAGCAAACAGGAUUAGAUACCCUGGUAGUCCACGCCGUAAACGAUGAGAACUGGAUGUUGGGAGACUUGAUCUCUUGGUAUCGAAGCUAACGCGAUAAGUUCUCCGCCUGGGGAGUACGGCCGCAAGGUUA